rnacentral:rRNA from 3 species
AUACGGAGAGGGCUAGCGUUAUUCGGAAUUAUUGGGCGUAAAGGGCGCGUAGGCUGAUUAAUAAGUUAAAAGUGAAAUCCCGAGGCUUAACCUUGGAAUUGCUUUUAAAACUAUUAAUCUAGAGAUUGAAAGAGGAUAGAGGAAUUCCUGAUGUAGAGGUAAAAUUCGUAAAUAUUAGGAGGAACACCAGUGGCGAAGGCGUCUAUCUGGUUCAAAUCUGACGCUGAGGCGCGAAGGCGUGGGGAGCAAACAGGAUUAGAUACCCUGGUAGUCCACGCUGUAAACGAUGAAUGUUAAAUAUGGGAAGUUUACUUUCUGUAUUAUAGCUAACGCGUUAAACAUUCCGCCUGGGGACUACGGUCGCAAGAUUAAAACUCAAAGGAAUUGACGGGGACCCGCACAAGCGGUGGAGCAUGUGGUUUAAUUCGAUGCAACGCGAAAAACCUUACCACUUCUUG